rnacentral:rRNA from 1 species
CCUACGGGAGGCAGCAGUGGGGAAUAUUGCACAAUGGGGGAAACCCUGAUGCAGCGACGCCGCGUGAGUGAAGACGUAAUUCGUUAUGUAAAGCUCUAUCCGCAGGGAAGAAAAUGACGGUACCUGCGUAAGAAGCCCCGGCUAACUACGUGCCCGCAGCCGCGGUACUACGUAGGGUGCAAGCGUUAUACGGAUUUACUGGGUGUAAAGGGAGCGUAGACGGCAGUGCAAGUCUGGAGUGAAAGGCGGGGGCUCAACCCCCGGACUGCUCUGGAAACUGUACGGCUGGAGUGCAGGAGAGGUAAGUGGAAUUCCUAGUGUAGCGGUGAAAUGCGUAGAUAUGAGGAGGAACACCAGUGGCGAAGGCGGCUUACUGGACUGUAACUGACGUUGAGGCUCGAAAGCGUGGGGAGCAAACAGGAUUAGAUACCCUUGUAGUC